rnacentral:lncRNA from 1 species
UUAAGGACAAGGCUAAUAUAUUACAUUCAUGUGAUCAAGUGUGCUAAUAUACUACAAUAUUAGUAAUAUACUAAUAUUGUAGUCCACUUAUAUAAUCUACACAAUCUCAAGUCAAAUUAGAUGUUGUCUGCUACAUAAUAUAGAUUAAUAGUCCAACUAUUACUAAUAUUGUAGUAUAUUAGCACACAAAUGUAUAUCAACUCCAGUUGAUCACAUGAAUGUAGUAUAUUAGCACACUUGAUCACAU